rnacentral:rRNA from 1 species
UUAAAACGGAGAGUUUGAUCCUGGCUCAGGAUGAACGCUGGCGGUAUGCUUAACACAUGCAAGUCGAACGGUGUCUUCGGACACAGUGGCGGACGGGUGAGUAACGCGUG